GUCUCUGGUCUUCUCUCUUCGUUAGCAUCGGACACCGCUGACCCUCAGCGCUUCGCCGCUGUGACCGCCCCCUUCCCGCCCUCUGCUCCCUCUGCCCCCGCCCUUCCCACCCCUGGACCCUCUUUCUCCCUCCACCCGCUCUUCUUUUUGCACCAGGCCCUCUACACGAGUCAGCCGGUGGCUUCCGGCUUCUCUCAUCCGGACGCAUGGAGCCCCUGGGAGUCUCACUCCCCCAUCUGGUCGCUCCCUUCCCGCCCCACGACCCCCGAGCUUCCUCACCAGGCCCGGUUUCCCUCCUGAGCUCCAGAUCAAGCUGUCCAGCGCGCCAGCCGAGCGGCUGCCUGCCCGGGACAGAAUCCCGUCCCCAUCUGUGCAGCUCUGCACUCGCUGCUCCCUGGGCACAGCUGCCCCUCUGGCUGUGGCUGUCUGAGACCAGGGGGUUGGGGCCAGCGAGUCGUGAAGAGUUUAAUCGUCUCCCUGAAGGUCUCACUUCCUUCCGCUGCAGAGACAGUCACACUGUGCCUCCCCUGCCCACCUCCACGUCCCUUCUCUUCCCUGACCCAGAAGGCCACCCUCUUUCCUCUAGAAACAGUAACAAUAACAGUAAUACCCAACACUUAGGGUUGAGGCAGCUUUAUAUGUAUCCAUGCAUGACGUCCCGCUAUAGUUCUAUGGGACUUAUUACUAUUCCCAUUUAACAGACGUGGAAACUGCGGCCCGGGGAGACCCAGGAACCUGCCCAUGUCACAAGGCAGUCUGUAGUGAGCCUGCGUGAGAACCCUUGCUCCAGGAAAGGGGUGACAGGGCGUCGCUGAGGAGCUGCCAGGCUUUCGGCCCUAAGCGGUCAGGCAGGUGUGGCGGGCUCUUGAUGAGAGGACUCUGCUCACAAGGGGACCGGGAGCACUUCGAUGUGGAAGCCAGACCACCCGCUCCUGAGGGCCAUGCAGAUGACCGCACCCAGGCCACCGCGAGCCCUGCCUGUUCAGUCUUCUGCUCCUGCUACUGUUUCUCUCGUGAUGAGAACUUAACUCUGUGAUGACGCAGCCGCCCGCCGACCGCCUGGGUACGCUGACCACAGCUCCGGGAGGACAAGCGGCCUCGGAGCGAUCUGACUUUCCCCGCAGUCUUCUCCCAAAAUUUAUUUCUAGGUUUUGUUUGCUUGCCAUGAGGCAUGUGGAAUCUCUGCUCCCUGACCAGGGAACCUGCACUCCCUGCAUUGGAAGGCAAAGUCUUAACCAUUGGACCACCAGGGGGGUCCCUCUAGUGUCUGUCCACUUCCCAGGAGCUUUCCUGUGCUCAUCACGACAGCCUUACAAGGUCAUAAGGGCGAGGAGACAGAUCCCUGGUCACAGACGACCCAGCAAGGAGAUCACCUCCUCAUCAGAAAAGAUGGACUCUCUCCAUCCGCACUCUCCACGUGGGGCCAAGAGGUCAGAGGUCCAGCUUUUCCUGAAGAGCCAGAAUCCACUGCAGAUCUCGUGACUCCACAUGGACUGCAAUCAGGAACCGGGUUCUGAAGGGUGAGGGGAAGGGACACACUCGAUUGUUCACAGGAGCGAACGCGUAACUACCCCACUCUGAAACACUUAGAGCGCUCUGUGUGUGCAGAAGCACUUGGGCACGAGCCUCAGAGCAGACGCCAGGGGAAGACGCCAGGGAGUCAGGGACUUCCCUGCCACAAGCAGAGGCCACAUGCGACAGAUCCCAGGGGGUUCCUUCCUGGUGUUCUGUGCCCUUAGUAACCAGAUCUGCCUUCAAGCCACGAGUUCUAAUAGGAAUCAUACUAUGUGUUAAUUAUAGGUUUAAACAAAGAAAGGAUUUUGUAUAAACUUGACCAGCUCAUCUGAUAAAAAUAGUUCUUGACACUUCAGUAAACCUCAUUUCCAGCCUGUUUGCUUCCCCACGUAUGAAAAGUUAACUCAUCUGCUUACAGAUAUUUUAGGAA
ensembl:lncRNA